GCUGAUUUGAUUCUUAAAGGCUGUCCAGCCAUUAUAGCUGACAACAUAGAAACUGAAUGUUAAUCUCAUACAGUCAAAUUAAACUCUAUAGCAGGGGUUGGCAACUUUUCUGAUGAGUGCAAUCUAAAAUUUCUUCAGAAGUCAAUGUGCCACAUCAACCAACUUUUUUCAACUAGCCAACCUUUCUCCUACAUCAAACGCUGCCCGUGGCUGUGGAAUGGUGGCAGUCGUAAGAAGGGAAACCUGUUGGAGUUCUAAAUGUUACAUCUUAAAAGUUGUCUCUGCUUUCACGUUUUUCAGCUCAAUCUCCCUGGCUCUGGCCAGCUCUGCCCCUAAACGCCUAAGUUCCAACUCCUCCUUCAGAUGAAACUCCCUUUCGCAUUUUUCUCUCUCCAGCUGGAGAUGAGCCAGAUGAACUCGUAGCCUAGCAUCCUGCUUUGAACCCAAAAAGAACUGUAUCGAGAGUGGCUCAAAAUGAGGCAGUGUCGUCGGCAGUGCCCUCAGGCAGUUCCUGAGCAACAGGCGUAGACACAGAUGGUGCUAUAGCUUGAUCUGGCAACAGGGGAACAUGCUGAGAUGCUACACCAUGCUCAGCCAACUCAACUGUUGAGACCCCAAUCUCGUUAAACAAUGCCAUCUCAUAUAUACACACGUAUACACACGUAUACACACACACACACACUUAUUUAUUUGCUAUCCAGCACUCAUUACUUCAGCUUAAACUUUUUGAUCACAAAUUUGUGAUCAUACUUGUGGAUCACAAUGACACAUAAUGAUUAGGCAUAUGAUUUACUAAUGUCUGGUUUUAGAGCUGUGAGCUAUGAGCUGUGAGCAAUGCAAAGUUUUUUCCUAACUUAAAAGUUUGAAAUAUGUAAGAUGUGUGGGUUCUUUGAAAAAAAUAGAAAUGACCUAAAUGCCUUAAGUAAAAUGUAGUGUUCUCAGGUGGUAACUGGUGUCUCACUACUGGCAACGGCUCUGCUCAUCACACUAUCCACCCAGGAAGAAGGAAGACAACAAUACACGAGCCGAGAAAAGAGAUGGACUAUGCCUGGUACAGAUACGCGUUUAACAGAACUGCAGAGAAAGACUGUUAUGUUUGCUCGCACAUGCCGAGCGUAUUAGCACAACCAUAUAUGGGAAACACCCUGAGAAUGACUUUUGUAAAGUGCACAACAACAUCAACAUCCUCAUCCAGGAAGAAGCGCUCAACUUUAACAAGUUUUAAAGAGACUGUUGAUUGUCGUUGGACUUUUCCUGAUUUUAUUUUUCUUUAUUUGAGUUAUUCCUUGUUUAAAGCCGUAAUUUCACAGAUGAUAAGUUUGUCACUCACAGCAUACGCAGAUGUACCAAAACCGAUGAAGAUCAUGAAGACUUCUUUUCCUAUUUGUUAGAUGAAGAUGAAGUGUAACUAAUGAUGUAGUAACUGAGAAUGUGAAAGACAAGUAGUUACUCACUGAUGAAUUGUACAUUUCAUUUCGUGAUCAACAGGAGGGAAUGUCAAAAGAGAAUAUUGUAUAAUGUGAUCAGCUAUAUGAAAUGUAUCUUUUUAUUUUAUCAUUAAGCACAUGUCUAUGUGACUUUUCACCUAGUAACUUUUGACAUGAACUCUUCUGUGAUAAACAACUUGCAGCUUCCUCUUUCUGGUUUGGAAGAUACAGACUUAGAAAAGGGGAACCUCAGCUCUGAGUUCUGAGAAUAACUCUGUUAUCUUUAUACACACACACACACACACACACACACACACACACACACACACACACACACACACACACACACACACACACACACACACACACACACACACACACACACACACACACACACACACACACACACACACACACACACACACACACACACACACACACACACACACACACACACACACACACACAAAAAAAAUAUAUUUUUUGGCAUUUUGCCUUUAUUGGGUAGCGAUAGUGAAGACAGACAGGAAAGCGGAUAGAAGACAUGGAAGGAAGACAUGCAGCAAAGGGCCACAGGUCGGACUGACUGUAACUGCUCAAAAGGUUAUGCAGAAUGUUACACAGAAGAAACCUCUGCUCCCCAUAUCACCCACAAACAAAUGGCUCAGUAGAGAGAAUGAAUGGCACCAUCCAGAGAGCCCUCUGUAAGGUUGUUGGUGACCAUCCAGAAACAUGGGAUGACUAUCUGGAUGUUGUGAUGUUUGGUCUCAGAACAAAAAAGCAAAUGACCACUGAAAUACUCACCCCAUUACCUGAUUUUUGGCAGAGAGGCUCGUUAUCCAUAUGAAAUCCCAGAACAUUACAUGGUCUUUCUGUCUGUGACAGACUACAGGAAAAUCCUACGCAAAGCACCUUAGUAAGUUUUUGAUGCACAGGCAGAACAGUUUGAAUGCAUGCUACAUCACCACCUUAAAAGCAACAAUAGUAUCAGAUCCAGGGGUCAGAAGCUACAGCAAAGGAAGAAAACGCCACCAGAACCAGCACGCGCUGCAGGUCCACAAGCCAAAUCACAAACAGCAGCAGACCCAGCCUCACAGACCACAGCAGCAGACCUCGAUCCAAAAGCUACAACUCCACCAGCAACUACUCCCCAGGUUGUAGCACCACCAGCAUCAACUACUCCUAAGUAAUCUACAGCACAAACUGUAGAAGCAACAGUACUACCAGUGACAGCAGCAACAGCCUUACAAGCUACCCCCUGCACCACCUCCAGCAUCAUCACCUCAAAGAUAUACUCAAGCUGUUGCAGAGAAAUGUAAAAAAAGAAAAAGAAAAUAACAAUUUUGUGAUUUGCUUAAAAAGCCCUUUAUUCCUAUGAUACUCUGUUACAUUACUCUUUAGAUCAUGGCACAGGAUAUUUUACACAAUUUCCCUGUUGGUUUAGGUAUAUUAUUCAAAAGACUUAAAAUUCAAUACUCUGUUAAUGCAUUUUCAAAAAAUAUACCUUCAUCAAGCAAGGCUGUAACUCACAUGUGUCACGUGACAUAAAUAAUUGAUUCUUUCAACAACAACAACAAAAACAACAACAAAAAAAAAGAGUCAUAUUUCUUUGUUAUUGUGUAAACCAGAAUGUUCAGAAUUGACAUUGUACUUAUAAUGUACACUACCAGUUAAAAGUUUGGACACCUUCCCAUUCAAAGUUCUGUUUUCAUGGCUACUUGCAUUGUAGAUUCUCACUGAAGGCAUCAAAACUAUGAACGAACCCAUAUGGAACCCUAACCUGAUCAUAUAGUAAAGAAAAAAGUAUAAAAUAAAAAGAGGUUUUGUGUCUUAGUCUUCAAAAUAGCCACCCUUUGCUUUGCACACCCUUUGCCUUCUCAGUAAGCUUCAUAAAGUAGUCACCUGAAAUGGUUGUCACUGCACAGGUGACACACAAAGCAGAGGUGACUCUUGGCCUUCCUUUCCUGGGAUGGGCCUCAUGUGAGCCAGUUUCAUUGUAGCGCUUGAUGGUUUUUGCAACUACAGUUUGGUUGUCUUUGGGGAUCAGGACCGUCUGGGUAGUGAUGUGUCCUGUGUGUCGAAGCUUCAAAGCGUGUCGGGUAAUCUCGGGGGAGUUUUUGUGAAGUGUGUACAGAGGCUUGCUUUGAUUACGUAUGCAGUGACGUUCGAGGCCUCGCGGGCAGCCCGUACCACAUGACUGAUUCAGGAACUGGCUCGCCAGUUUCCAAAUAAAAUGGGUAACAAAACACAGCUGAUUCCCCCAUCACAUUGUUUUGUGGAAUUGGAUUACGUACAUGUUACAUAGUUACUCGAGCAUUUCUUCUUCGAUGGAACCAGCAAGGAAGAGAAGAUUUCCCCUGUCUGGCAACACUGAUCUCAUCUCUCCUAAUAAGGUAUGCACACAGUAAUAAAUAUCACAAAUGAUAAGUACCAUAAUAUAAAUAAACCACACCACAGAUCCUAUAAUCUGAUUUCUGUCUUUUGGUUUAUUGAAAGGUGAAGUGUUUGUUGUGCUCCAAAGAACUUGGAUACAGCAACAACACCUCAACUAUGCUGAGGCAUUACAGAGCCCUGUGUGAAAACAAGGAGACUAUCCAAGGUGGACCAAGCUCAGGUAAGUUUUUUUUAGGUUGCAAGGAUACAGUCAUUUGAUACAUUUACAUUCCCCAUGUCAUUCAUUUAUAUUUGGGUUGUAAUUACUGCUAUAUGUAAUUUCUUAAUGUUUUGUUUGUUUUAUCAGGGGAGAGGAAUGAUAUGGAUGAGGCAUUGGUCAACAUGGUGAUAGAUUCCCAGCCCUUCACUAUUGUGGAGGACAGUGGGUUUAGAAAGCUUGUUAAAGCUUUGAACCUUAACUGUUCUCCCCACAAGGCAGGUGUGUAUCUUAAAAAUAUGAAGCAUGUUUCCAGUUUGCCUAUAUUUCCAUAUUAAUAGCGGUACUUUCUUUUGUUUAGGCUUUGAAAGCUAUGGUGGACCAAAGAUACAAAGAGUCCAAACAAAAAGAAAAACUGACUGUGGCAAAGGCUUCUGUAGUUAGUUUGACAUCUGAUAUGUGGACCUCCAUUAACACAGAGGGUUUCCUAGCUGUCACCUGCCAUGUCAUUGAUUCUAACACUGCAUUGCAUUCUGUAGUGUUAGGUGUUCAGCACUUCCCUAAAGCACAUACUGCUAUCAAUUUGUCCCAAGUAACAGCAGCGCUCAUGUCAGAGUGGGGAAUUACAGACAAAGUUACAUGUUAUGUGACUGAUGGAGCAGCAAACAUGGGUGCUUGUGCAAAGGAGCUUUGUUUGCAUCACAGUAAUUGUGUGGCGCAUACAUUGAACCUAAUGGUCAAAAAAAGCUCUUGAUCAACACACCGCGCUGUCUGAGAUCCAGACCACCUGUAGGAGGACCGUGGGAUAUUUCAAGAGCAGUGCAACUGCUAAGGUUUGUUCCAUUAUUUCAUUAUUGCUUUAAGGAGCUGCUGCAAUAACACAGCUUGAAUUAAUCAAUUUGUGUUGGCUGUUUUCUUAGGAGAGGCUGACAGAGGUGCAAGAGCAAAUGGGCCGGCCUCCACUGAAGUUAAUUCAAGAGGUGGAUACAUGUUGGAACAGCACAUUCCAAAUGCUUCAAUGUAUUCAUGAGCUCAGGGAACCUAUUGGAGCAUCGUUAGCUGGCCUGCACACUGAUAUUUGCCCACUAUCCUCUGAACAGUAUGACCUUAUGGCAGAAUGUCUCAAAAUGCUCUCCCCAUUUAAUGAUGCCACCACUGAGCUGUCAGAGGAAAAGAGUGUCUGAAUCCAAAGUAAUUCCACUUCUAACCAUGUUGCACCAUGCACUAAAUUAAGAGGAAAUGGGAGUUGUCCUAACUCCAGAGAGGUCCACCAUGGUUGAGUGUCUGAGGAGACAAUUAAAGGAGAAGCUCUACAUGUUGCAGUCAAUGAGCAUCAUGUCACUGGCAACAUUGCUGGAUCCAAGGUUUAAAAAAAAAAAAAAAAAAAAAAAAAAAAAAAAGAGGCUUCUUUAGCCCCAAUAAAGCACUGGAUGCUGAGAGGAGACUCAUUUUUGAGUGUGCUGCUGCUUUGCAGCACUUGGCAGCCUCUCAGCCUGUGACUUAAGGUGUAUGAGCACAUUUUGAUUAUUUUAUUGUAUUUAGUUACUUACAUCCUGUUUGUUUUAAGCUAUGUCCACGCUAGCCCGGAUAGAUUUGAAAAAGGCGUUUGUCUGAAAACGCUCUGCGUCCACACUAGCCUCUUCAGUUGUUUUCAAAGAGUUGCGCGUCCACACUAAAACAGCCAAAAAAAACAAAAAAAACCUGACGUUGCAGUUCGUGAAACGCAAGACGACUCAACCUGCGUCAUUUCCCAUUUUCCGGCUCUUUUGGAUGACAUCACACGUCUGGAUUACCAGCUUCCAAGGCACCAAGAGUGUGCAUGUCAUCUAGGGCUGCCACAAACGAUUAUUUUGAUAGUCGACUAGUCACCGAUUAUUUUUGCGAUUAGUCGACUAAUCGGAUCAUGCAUCCAUUGGACGUAAAACGUACAGCUUAUUGCACCAGCAGCAUCUGCUCUUAUAUAACAUUAGCUUACAGUUUUAAGUGUUUAGGGUAUGUGCUAACUAAAAAUAAAGACAAGAUGAUAGUUUAUUAAAUUUAAUGAGAUUUACAGAUUGUUUCGGUAAAGUUUAAUAAACUCCUUGCUAUCUAAAAUAUAACGGGACACCGGAGUAUAUUCUCGAACAUCU
ensembl:lncRNA